AGGAGCUGGACAGUCCCUUCAGGUUGUACGGACUCACAAUGAACCCACUGCUAUACAACAUCACCCAGGUUGUCAUCCUGUCAGCUGUCUCCGGUGUCAUAAGUGACUUGCUUGGAUUUAAUUUAAAGCUGUGGAAGAUCAAAUCAUGACAGUUGAGAGAACUGGAGAUGUAGCCCAGUGGCCAGAACAUGAGUGCUGAUGGAGCGGUCGCUGAUCUGCUCCAGGAGUCUGCUGGGAACGAAGUGUUUACAUCAGACUGUAUUGUGCAAUUCUUAUAUUUAUUUUACGUGUUCACUGGUUUUGUUCUGUUUUGUUGUAUGUGUGUUUGUUUUCUUUCUUUUUUUCUUUUUAAACAUUUAGUCCGUUUUAAGCAUUGAAGUUCUUAAUUGUUGAAAGGGUGGCAAAACUGAUCCAGAUACCUGAGGUCCUGGUAAUUGUUAACAAGUAACUGACCAACAGAUUGUGAAAACAGAAGCCAUCACUAAGCACUAUUUCUUCAUCAAUGCCGUGAACUUGCCUUACUUGAGGAAAACGUCUUUAACUCUGAAAUAGUGCAUUGGUCUAAGCUAAACACAUUUUCUCUGGUAAACCAGGAUCCACUCAGGACCGCUCUUGAAGUAAUUUCAGAACAGUCCUGGGAUGCAGACUGAGUAAGCUGCAGUGGAUGCGCCCUUCAGUAUUAAUAUAUAGUAUUAUGUAACAGGUCAACAAGUGCUCUUUCACGAUAAACUCUUAACGGAGCAAUAAUCGUAAAUGGUUACCAUACUGUAAAAUAUUUUGAUAAGAAUUAAUUAGUAAUAAGUGUAUUUAUUUAAACACUGGGCUGUUUGCACAGCUCCGACUGUGCAUGCUCAAAUGUGCACUUUUUAAAAUGGUUCCUUUGGGUGUAUGUCUCACGUGGAUAUGCGACAGUGUACCAGGGCGUAAUAUGGUAUCCUUUUGAGUGAGGUCCGUCCUCAUCUCACAAGUGAAGUGCCUACUGUUAUUACUAAAGUGCGUUACGUUUACUCUAGAAUUCCCCAUGGUACACUCUAGCGUAUGCUGUUCCUACCACACUUAAAGCUUAAGAAUCAAGUUAAGAACCAACAGAAUAUUUAUCUGAUUGCUAGUUAUAAAAUUUCCAAAUUUUCCAAAAAGACAGCUUCAGCCUACCAGUUCUAGCCUCCAAAUUUAAUCUGGUGCACCCCUUCCCAGCUCCAUGACGUAAGGGCUAUUUUUAGACGCUUUUAACAUGGAAAGCUAGCUGCUCUCCCCUCCGGUAACUGGCCAAGCGUGCGGUGGGAGCUAUCAUGUUUCCCCUUGGUAAAUAGGGCAGAUAUGAUAGUCCCUAUGUCUGGCCUUC
rnacentral:lncRNA from 1 species